GUUAGCACCACAAGGAGCCCAUCCUAAGGAGCACAGAAGACACAGAAGGGACGGGGCUCAUCCCAGCUCUGUGACCAUAGGACCAUGAGAGGCUCAAGAACACUGUCUGUCUGUCAUCUAUCUAUCUAUCUAUCUAUCUAUCUAUCUAUCUAUCUAUCUAUCUAUCUAUCUAUCUAUCUAUCUAUCUGAGACAGGGCCUCUCUCCAUAUCUCUGACUGUCCUGGAACUUACUCUGCAGAGCAGGCUGACCUUGAACUCACAGAGAUGCCUGUGCUUCUAGAGUGCUGGAACUAAAAGAGUGCACCACAACACCUAGCUCUUCUUUUUCCUAACAACCAAUCAUAUUAUUUUAGCACCUUAAACUUUUUAAAGUAUUUUUAUACAAAAUUUAAAUACAUUGUGUAUUUAAAUACAUUACUCUUGAUGCCAUUUCUGAGUGAGUAGUCGAGCAGCGCUGCCCCUUGAUGGGUAUAUAAAGCGCAGGCUCAGAAGAUGACGUCACCAUGAGGCCCAGGGACACGGGCACAUUGUGGUCUCCAGCCAGGCGGGAGCUCAGGUUUCCUGACUGGAGCCUGGAACCAGCUCUCCCACUGUUCCCUCCCUGAAGUCACCAGCUGUCCUCAUGAGAUUCAAAACCUUCUGAGCAGUAGAGGCUGUCGGAGACAGUCGCUAUUGCCCGCAUUUGGAGAGACAGUAUUUGCGGAACUGGAGAUGCUGGGGAGAGUGGUGGCCUGAGUCUCACUGUGAAGCCCCGACUGGCCUGGAACUCACUAUGCUGACCAGGCUGAUCUUGAACUCGUAGAGAUCUACUUGUCUUCAACCCUUAAAUUCCAGGAUUAUAGGCAUGCACCGCCGUGCCUCAGUAGAUUCAGUCUCCUUGGCUCGGAGUUUGACAAGCAGACUAGAUUGGCUGUCCAUAGAGCCUCAGAUAUCUACCUGUCUGCCUCCCCGGCACUGGGAUUUCAAAUGUACAACAGCACUCUCUUGCUCCUGCUGUGCUGUCCCCUUGCCCUGCUCUCCCUCUCUCCCCAUUGCCCUCCCUCUUCUCUCUCCAAGUGCUCAGGGCCAGCCUCUACUCUCUACUUCUCUACUCUCUCUCUCUUUCUCUCUCUCUCUCUGUCCUUACUACCCUCUCAACUCCCCUCCAUGCCCUGAAUUAAAAAAGAAAAAACACAAUACCAUACCUAGCUUUUGGACAUGGGUUCUGGGCCUUGAACGUAGGUCCUUGAACUUUCGGGCAUACACUUUAUCAACAGCUGAGCUAUCUCCCCAGCCCUAUUUAUAGAAACAACCAAAGUGUUUGUUCUUUCUGUCAUGUUAGGAUGCAACAAGACACUACAACCUGUGAAGUAGGUCAUCACCAAACACAGCAUCUACGGCGCUUUGACCUCAGGAUUCCCAGGCUCCAGACUUAGCUGUAAACAACAGACAUUUGUUGUUUAGGAGCCAUGGAGGCUAUGGGGUUUUGUGGAACAGCCUGAACUGACCAAAAAACACCCCGCUAAUUUGUUCCAUGUUCACAAGAUAGAUAGAUAGAUAGAUAGAUAGAUAGAUAGAUAGAUAGAUAGAUCAUGUACCUUUCUAGAUGUAUAUUUUAUUCAAGCCAAUUCCUGGGGGUUGCCAAUAUUCAAUCAAAUCACGGUCAUGUACUUUAGUCCUGAUAUUGUUUCAUAACAAAAAAUACAAAUCGCACCAUUGAGCAGCCAUUCAAAAUGAUGGCUGUGGGAUAUUAAUAGUUGUUUUCAAUGUAUUCAUUGUUCAUUCACCAUUCAUUCACGAGAGCUCAUUAUGAACCAGCAUAUCUCUAAGCCCUGGGGUGCAGAAUUAAAUUCUCUUAGGUCGUUUGCAGACUAUCGAGAAGAUAAUCCAAAGAUACAGAAACAGCCAGGGCUAGUGUGGGCCAUGCAUGAGCGUAGUGUGCACUUGGGAGGUAGAGGUGGGAGAAUCGUGAGUUCAAGGUCAUGCUUAGGUAUAUAGUGAGUUUGAGGCCAACCUGGACUACAUGAGACCCUGUUCAAAAAGGAGGAACAACAUCACUUCAAGCUCUGUGGAGGGAAACAGCUGAGUAAGGAGAGGCCUAAUUUAGAAAACGCCAUCCCCAAAAAGCUUUGCUAUGAAACUGACAUUCUGUUUUGUUGUUGUUCCUGAAGAUGACAUUUGAAAGAUGUUGUAGAGUGUGAGUCCUGGGAAUAAAAGCUCACAGACCGAGGAAAAAGCAAGGUCAUGGACCCUACCACAGAAAUACACUUGGCAGGGCUGAGAACAAGGAGGCCCGUGUUGUUGGCUCACAGAGAGCGAAACAGAGAAACAAAGACAAGAGGGACAUUGGUCACGUGAAGCCUGUGGGCCCUAUUAAGGACCUUGAACUUCUGUAAGCGGUGAGCUUCCCCUUGGAGGAGUGAGAGCAGGAAGUGGAACUAUAUGCUUUACAGUUUCCAAGGGAUGCUGAGCCAGUCUAAGGGCAUCGACACAGGGGCUUUAACACAGACGCCUCAGAGAAUCCUGCAGGGCAGACAUGAGCGCCAAAGAGGGCACUGACCCAGGGUGGGGUAGGUGCAUGUGAGAGCUGAGGAUGGCACUGGCCCAGUGUGGGGUGGCAGCGGUGGCACAGAGUGUUGAUCCAGAACAAUAGACUUUGUCGACAGAACCCACGCAGGAUUUGUUGAUGGAUGGCAGAUAGGCUAGGGGGGAGUCAAUAUGUUUGCAAUGUAAACAGAAACAGCGAAAAAGAAAAACGUUCUGUUUGCAGUGUGGACGAAACUGUUUAAAACUCAGCAAGUAAGAGUGUUUAGUGUGUGAGCCUGACUCCCUCAGCUGGAUCUGUGGAACCCACAACAGAAGGGGAGAAUUGACACCUGAAAGUUGUCUGUCACAUGUGUGCGCGCACACACAGACUCACUAGUGCUUGGGAGAUCAGAGAGUCAGAGGUUCAAGCUCAUCCUUGACCUCUCAGGUUUGAGGCCAGCUUGGGAUUCUGAGAUAUUUUAAAAAAAACAAAAAACAAAAAACAAAAAACUACCCCUCUCACCAGCACGUGGGAGAUAGGCAGGCAGAUCUCUGCGAGUUUGAGGCCAACCUGGUCUACAUACUGAGUUUCAGAACAGCCAGUGCUAUAUAUAGACACCCUGUCUCAACACACAGACAAACAAACACAAAAACAAACAAAAAAGCUAUCCUCCAAAAAAAAAAAAAAAGUUCUUAAAUUUUACUAACAAGGAAGUUAACUGUGGCAAAGUAUACAAAAAAAAUUGAGGUCAGAGGUCAGAGCUCAGAUCACAUUUAUAGACAGAUGUUUAGCAACAUUUUUUUUUUUUUAAAGAAGGAACUGGAGACAAGGGUCUGCCCUGGCUCAGUGGUUAAGAGUGCACUGCUCUUACAGAGGACCUUGAUUUUCAGCACCCACAGUGAGUGGCUCACAGUUGCCUGUAGCUUCAGCUUCCGGGGAUCCAACACCUUGUGGCCUCAGGCACUCAUAAGCACCUACCCACUCUCCAGACACAUCACACACACACACACACACACACACACACACACACACACACACACACACACACACACACACACACAGAGUUUAAAAACAACGUAUGUCUUUUUAAAAAUCCCAUGGUAGUUACACACAGUACAAGUAAGGAAACAAAGGGUCUGGAGGCCUGGAGGAGACUGGCAAGUUUCUACUGAGGCCGGAGCUGGAGUGGGUACUGAAGGAAGACAAUGGAGUUAGUUGAGAUAGUGUGUGGUGGGGAGCUGCCACACCCCAGGGGCUGGGUAGGGGGAAACCCUGGCUCUGCAGGGGAGAAUGUAGGCAGAAGUGUGACUGCAGCACUCCCCUCCAUACCCCCCAACCAGCAGCCCAGCGGAU